AUGAAGAAGGAUAGUUUCUCCUUGACAUAACAGGGAGCAUUUGAAGAGUAUUUUUAAUUACAUAAAAAUACUAGGUAAAGAUCUUUAGACAGAGUAAAUAUUGUUUCCAAUGGUAGAAACGUUGAUAACAGUGGACACAAAAGUAUAAGCAGCAUAAGAAACAGAAGGGAGAUACCACAGCUAAGGCCAGAACUGGAGUGCCACAUCGAAUUCUGCCCAUCACAUUUUAGGAAGGACAUAAAGAAGGUGCAGGUGAAAUCACAGAAGAAGCUGCAGGGGGUUGAAGUGGAAGAACUCCAGCUUCUGGGUUUUCAGUUACCAGAAAAUCCUGGAAUAUACUGGAAGGCUACAAUGGACAGAUUCCUCACAUCCUGGUGACCCUGAGGACACUAAACUCCGUGACAUAACGCAUACAAGGUGCUGGAGGAGCUCAGCAGGUCAGCAGCAUUUGUGGAAAGGGCCGAGGCCCUUCAUCAAGACUGGAAAGGAAGCCGGAAUAGGAAGGCAUCCACAGAAGAACAAAGAAGCAAAAUUGGACCAAUGAAAAACUACACACAAAAAAGACUGACAGAUGGUGCAAAUAUAAAGGGAAUAAGUGUUAUAAAUAAUAAUAAAUAAGUAAGUAAAUAAAUACAAUCAAGAACAUGAGUUGCAGAAUCUCUGAAAGUGAGUUGAAAGGUUGCAUUCAAUGAUCAGUUCAGAACUGAGGUGAGUAAAGUUAUCUACACUAGUUCAGGAGCCUGAUUGUUGUAUGGUAAUAACAAUUCUUCAGCCUGGUGGUCUGGGACUAAACACUCCUGUACCUCCUUCUUGAUGGUAGCAGCGAGAAGAGAGCAUGGCCUGGAUUGUGAAGUCCUUGAUGAUGCAGACCUAUUGCUGAUAAAGAUUAAAAGGCCAUUCACUAUUGGAACCUUUACAGUGAAUUUCAAUCUAUGACAGCCCAGUAGACAAGGUUCAUGCCUUAAGGUAAAUGGGUACUCAUAACUUAACCUCCCAUGCCAAGACCCAAGCACAAAACCUAGCUUAAAAAUUAUUAUUACUGAUGAGAUGCAAUCUCAUACCAAGGUCCACUGUACCUUCUCAGUUCGAUACAAAUGCUCCUAUUCUCAUAUCCCAACAGGGUAUCAUCCAACCUGACAGCACGAACAUCGGUUUCUCCAGCUUUAGGUAAUUCUUCCUCCCUCCACCUUCUCUCUUUUUCCAUUCUCCAUUCUGGUUCUACUCAUACCCAUCCUCUUAUCCUCACCUGCCCAAUGCCUCCCUCUGGUUUUCCCCCUCUUUCCUCCAUGGUUCCUCACUAUCCUCUCCUAUCAGAUUCCUUCUUCUCCAGCCCUUUACCACUUCAUCUAUCACCUCCCAGCUUCCCACUUCAACCUUCCCCCUCUCCCCCCCACAUCCACCUUCCCCCUCACCUGCUCUCACCUGCCAACUUGUAGUCCUUCCCCUCCUCCUCCUCCUCCUCCUCCUUUUCCCCCUUCCUUUCCAAUCCUGAAGAAGGGUUUUAGCCUGGAACAUCAACUUUUUAUUCCUCUCCAUAGAUGCUGCCUGACCUGCUGAGUUCCUCUAGCAUUUUAUGUAUGUUGUAUUUGAUUUCUUGCAUCUGCAGAAAUUCUUGUGAUAUGGGUGUUUACCGCGAACAAAUUGGUUGCUGGUUUUCUUGCAUUUCAACAAAAUGCAACGUUCCUUUAGUUCCCCUUGGGCCAAUAAGGGAUGGGCAAAAAGUGUUGCGUUGGUAUGGUCACUGUCUUUCCAAGAACAAAAACAUUGCUAAAUUAUCUGAUCUUUCAAUCAACUUCAACAUCUUUGGCUAAGGAGUGUCUACGAUCUGAGAGAAAGCAUAGAGGAUGGAAAACAACUGAGGAAUUGAUUACACAGAUAAUAAAUUGUAAUUUACAGUCAUAUAUCCCACUGGCAUUCACACAAGACUGGCCCAUAGACGGCCUUGUGGACAUCAAUAAAUGCAUGCCCGAGGUCAUCAGCUCAGUGAAUGACCCUCUGUGGUCUGUCUGAAAGUUAUUGGUAUUCUAGCACAGUGAGGUGUCCAUGUGGGAAAGCAGCAGAUGGGCAUCAUCCACCCUGCAAGAGUACAUGUUAAGGAAUACAGCCGCAGGAGGACUGGGUGCCUCCAGGGUGGCAUGGUGUCAUAGGUUUCAAUGAGAUUCCCUCCCAUUCUUCUAAAUUCCAGCAAAUACAGACCCAGAGCCAUCAAACACACCUCAUAUGAUAACCCAUUCAUUCCUGGAAUCAUUAUCAUGAACCCUUUUCAAAGUCAGCACACCUGUUCUUAAAUAAACAGCGCAAAACUUCCCAAAAUACUCAAACUGAGGCCUCACCAAUGCUUAUAAAGCCUCAGCAUUACACCCUUGCUGAUAUACUUUAGUCCUCUUGGAACAAGUGCUAACAUUUGUAUUCAUCUUCCUCACCACCGACUCAACCUGCAAGUUAACCUUUAGGGAAUCCUGCACAAAGACUCCCAAGUCCCUUCUGCACCUCAAAUUUUUAAAUUUUCUGCCGUUUUAGAAAAUAGUCUGAUCACUUUUCCUUCUACCAAAGUGCUUGACUAUACGCAUCCCGACAUUGUAUUCCAUCUGCCACUUCUUUGUCCAUUCUCCAAAUCUGUCUAAGUCCUUCUGCAGCCUCUCUGCUUCCUGAACACUACCUGCCCCUCCACCUACCUUCGUGACAUCUGCAAACUAGGACAUAAACAAAUCAAUUCUGGGAAGAUCAUUACCAAUGCCUCCACAAUCUUCCCAACCACCUCUUUCACACCCUAGGCUGUCGUCCAUCUGGUCGUGGUGACUUAUCUAACUUCAGACCUUUCAGCUUCCCAAGCACCUUCUCACAAGUAAUAGUAAUUGCACACAUACACACAGACACACACACUUCUGCCACCUGACACACUUGAACUUCUGGCAUGCUGCCGGUGUCUUCCACACUGAAGACGGAUGCAAAGUGCUUACUUAAUUUGUCCACCAUUCCCUUCUUCUCCCAUUACUACCUCUCCAUCAUCAUUUUCCAAUGGUCUGAUAUCUAUCAUCUCUCAUUUACUCUUUAUAUCUCUGAAAAAACUUCUGGUAUCCUCAUUGAUAUUAUUAGCAAGCUUAUCUUCAUAUUUCAUCUUUUCCCUCCUUUUUUAUGCCUUCUUGUGGUUUUUAAAGCUUCCCAGUCCUCCAACUUCCCAAUAUUUUUCCUCUAUUAUAUGCUGUCUCUUUUGCUUAUAUUGUUUUUGAUUUCCUUGUCUGCCACAUUUACAUCAUCCUGUCUUUAGAGUACUUCUUCUUUGGGUUGUAUCCGUCAUGCGCUUUCUGAGUCUCUCCUAGAAUCUACACUCUUUGCUGUUGUGUCAUCAUCAGAUAGUUUACCCUUCUAAUCAGCUUUGGCUAGCUCUUCUCUCAUGCCUCUAUAAUCUUUUAGAUGGUUUUCACUGUGACAUAGACACAGACUAAACAACCUUCUUUUUCAAUAUUGUCAUGAGUAUCCUCAUACAUUCAGCAGCAGUACUUUUAUUUUAGAGUGUUGAUUCAAAUGCACUGUUUCAGUCAAUGCAACCCUCUAUUAAUCCCUCAUAGUGACACUUUGAAAGGACUGCAUCAACUGUAAAGUGUUUUGUAGACAGCGUCACCAUUUUAUACUCCAGUCCACAGUCAGUCUGCAAAUUGGUCAGCCAGUAUGAGUUUGCACCAGGAGACCGAGCCAAUCACAGGAAGAGUGAGGCCAUUCGCUUCCCAAGCUGCCUGCCAUCCCCUUCACCUUCCAUUCCAACUACCUG